AGAGUUUGAUCAUGGCUCAGAUUGAACGCUGGCGGCAUGCCUAACACAUGCAAGUCGAACGGCAGCACAGGCGUAGCAAUACGUUGGGUGGCGAGUGGCGGACGGGUGAGGAAUACAUAGGAAUCUACCCUAUUGUGGGGGAUAACGUAGGGAAACUUACGCUAAUACCGCAUAAGACGGCGACGUGAAAGUGGGGGACCGCAAGGCCUCACGCGAUAGGAUGAGCCUAUGUCCGAUUAGCUAGUUGGCGGGGUAAGAGCCCACCAAGGCGACGAUCGGUAGCUGGUCUGAGAGGAUGAUCAGCCACACUGGAACUGAGACACGGUCCAGACUCCUACGGGAGGCAGCAGUGGGGAAUAUUGGACAAUGGGCGCAAGCCUGAUCCAGCAAUGCCGCGUGUGUGAAGAAGGCCUUCGGGUUGUAAAGCACUUUUGUACGGGAAGAAAGCGAGCGGAUUAAUACUUUGUUCGGAUGACGGUACCGUAAGAAUAGACUGAUCCC
rnacentral:rRNA from 1 species